UUUCUUAAAGCACAGAUUCAUUGAAGAGCUGGCGCCGUGGGCCACUUCGCCGGACUGAAGGGUCCCGCCGGGUCGGAGGGUCCCGCCUGGCCGGGGGAAGAUGGGCGGGACCAGGGGAUGCUACUCGAAGGAACAGCCGCUGUGGGCUCCGCAGGGGCCGUGGUGUGAGGCAGGACUUCAUCGCUGGCUCCCGAGGGAAGAGGUCAUUUUGACUGCAGAGAGAAAGCAUUUUCUUAGGUCGGUUGGGGGAAGUUCAGCUUCAAACUGAGAGAGACGAAACUGCUGUGGGGAAUGAUCGUUAGACAGUGACCACAAAAUAUCUAUCAGCAUUUUCACACAAGAGGAGAUUGUCACCUGGAAGGAUUUAUACUCUGUACUACCAAAGAAACUACACAGACCUGUGAAGAUGUACGGGGACUUCAAGCAUAUAAUCUUUACAAACUGAGUUUGACUCAAAAAAGGAAAAGGAAGUUUUCUACUUGCAUUCAGGACAACUAUCCACUGAUUUAAAGGUAAUUUGCAAUACUGAGAGCAGAAGUGACAGCCUGAACUUCAACUCAAGACAACAGUAAUUUCUCUGUGGUCCCAUGCUUGUUAGUAUGCUUCUCAUAACUUAAACUCCUCAAGCUCUAGUCACAAGCAGAAGCAGCCUCAGCAGGAGUGCUAAGGCAUCAAAGACCCACAUGAUCUGGUCCUGUUAAAUCAUGUUUGCUUACUGACAGCCCCUUCCCCACCCAUGCUCCUCUUUCGUUUGUACUUUUUUUGGAGGUGGUUUUUUGUUUGUUUGUUUGAUUGGUUUUCUCUCCCUCUUAUGAAGAAGCCAAACUAGUCUGCUGGAGCAACCACAGUAGCAUGUCAGCCCCUUUCAUCUCUCCACUGGAUAACGAGUACAAGUCUGUGACUGCAUGUGACUGUGGGAGGAAAUAAUUGGAAGUACUGUGUGAGUAGCUAUCUGUUAAUAACAGCUUGCUUAUAUUAAUAGCAGCUCCAUUUCUGCUAAAUAAAGGCAAAAUUCUUCUAAUA